rnacentral:rRNA from 1 species
AUUGAACGCUGGCGGCAUGCCUUACACAUGCAAGUCGAACGGUAACAGGUCUUCGGAUGCUGACGAGUGGCGAACGGGUGAGUAAUACAUCGGAACGUGCCUAGUAGUGGGGGAUAACUACUCGAAGGAGUGGCUGAUACCGCAUGAGAUCUACGGAUGAAAGCAGGGGAUCGCAAGACCUUGUGCUACUAGAGCGGCCGAUGGCAGAUUAGGUAGUUGGUGGGAUAAAAGCUUACCAAGCCGACGAUCUGUAGCUGGUCUGAGAGGACGAUCAGCCACACUGGGACUGAGACACGGCCCAGACUCCUACGGGAGGCAGCAGUGGGGAAUUUUGGACAAUGGGCGCAAGCCUGAUCCAGCAAUGCCGCGUGCAGGAUGAAGGCCUUCGGGUUGUAAACUGCUUUUGUACGGAACGAAAAGCCCUGGGUUAAUACCCUGGGGUCAUGACGGUACCGUAAGAAUAAGCACCGGCUAACUACGUGCCAGCCGCCGCCGUAAUAC